CCUACGGGGGGCUGCAGUGGGGAAUAUUGGACAAUGGGGGCAACCCUGAUCCAGCCAUGCCGCGUGUGUGAAGAAGGCCCUCGGGUUGUAAAGCACUUUCAGUGAGGAAGAACGCCUGGUGGUUAAUACCCAUCAGGAAAGACAUCACUCACAGAAGAAGCACCGGCUAACUCCGUGCCAGCAGCCGCGGUAAUACGGAGGGUGCGAGCGUUAAUCGGAAUUACUGGGCGUAAAGCGCGCGUAGGUGGCUUGAUAAGCCGGUUGUGAAAGCCCCGGGCUCAACCUGGGAACGGCAUCCGGAACUGUCAAGCUAGAGUGCAGGAGAGGAAGGUAGAAUUCCCGGUGUAGCGGUGAAAUGCGUAGAGAGCGGGAGGAAUACCAGUGGCGAAGGCGGCCUUCUGGACUGACACUGACACUGAGGUGCGAAAGCGUGGGUAGCAAACAGGAUUAGAUACCCGAGUAGUC
rnacentral:rRNA from 1 species